rnacentral:lncRNA from 1 species
UAAUUAGGCACUAUGCCUAAUUAAUAAAAUACUAUCGAAGACAGGCCUACUUGCUCACUUGCUUAACAAACCCAACGAAUAGGCCAUCAAUAUCACAGCUUGCAGCUUGCAACACCGACAACCGACUGUUGUCUCGAUAAACAAGUAAUGUAACUACCAUAGUGAAAAAUUACCAUUUUGCCCCUCAUUGGGAAGAAUGCAUAAAUUGUGC